rnacentral:rRNA from 1 species
UACGAAGGGUGCAAGCGUUAAUCGGAAUUACUGGGCGUAAAGGGUGCGUAGGCGGUUGUUUAAGUCUGUCGUGAAAUCCCCGGGCUCAACCUGGGAAUGGCGAUGGAUACUGGGCAGCUAGAGUGUGUCAGAGGAUGGUGGAAUUCCCGGUGUAGCGGUGAAAUGCGUAGAGAUCGGGAGGAACAUCAGUGGCGAAGGCGGCCAUCUGGGACAACACUGACGCUGAAGCACGAAAGCGCGGGGAGCAAACAGG